rnacentral:rRNA from 1 species
CAGUAGGGAAUCUUCCACAAUGGGCGCAAGCCUGAUGGAGCAACGCCGCGUGUGUGAUGAAGGGUUUCGGCUCGUAAAACACUGUUGUAAGAGAAGAAUGACAUUGAGAGUAACUGUUCAAUGUGUGACGGUAUCUUACCAGAAAGGAACGGCUAAAUACGUGCCAG